rnacentral:rRNA from 1 species
CGGCCAGACUCCUACGGGAGGCAGCAGUGGGGAAUAUUGCACAAUGGGCGCAAGCCUGAUGCAGCCAUGCCGCGUGUGUGAAGAAGGCCUUCGGGUUGUAAAGCACUUUCAGCGGGGAGGAAGGCAUUAAGGUUAAUAACCUUAGUGAUUGACGUUACCCGCAGAAGAAGCACCGGCUAACUCCGUGCCAGCAGCCGCGGUAAUACGGAGGGUGCAAGCGUUAAUCGGAAUUACUGGGCGUAAAGCGCACGCAGGCGGUCUGUCAAGUCGGAUGUGAAAUCCCCGGGCUCAACCUGGGAACUGCAUUCGAAACUGGCAGGCUGGAGUCUUGUAGAGGGGGGUAGAAUUCCAGGUGUAGCGGUGAAAUGCGUAGAGAUCUGGAGGAAUACCGGUGGCGAAGGCGGCCCCCUGGACAAGGACUGACGCUCAGGUGCGAAAGCGUGGGGAGCAAACAGGAUUAGAUACCCUUGUACC